rnacentral:lncRNA from 1 species
GAGCCCAGGGCCCUGGCACGCGCUAGGCGAGCGCUCUACCGCUGAGCCUCCACCCCAGCCCCGGCUCUUGCCUUUUUAUCCUUCAAAACCCUUUGCCGUGAAGUUCGCCACACCCUUGCCACACGGAGCCACUGGGCGGGUUUUCUUUUUCUUUUUCUUUUCCCAUAUCGUGAACGUGCUGCCAUGAGUCUCUUUUCGACAGGAAAUCUGAAUUCUCACCAUUUUUUUUUUUCACAAUCACAGGCUGAGAUGAAAACAAAACCCUGUUCACUCUUCUGCACACCCUCGAGUAGGUUGGAUCGCAGGGACCUGUGUCUGCAGCAGCUGAGAAUCGAACCCAGGGCCCCACACAGGCCAGGCUAAGCCUCCACCCCUGACCCUGGCCACUGGUCACUUCCCAGGUGCCUUCAGGUCUGCUGAUCCCCGGAGGCACCUCCUCUGAGAAUCUGCCGGGAUUCUGCCCCCGCCCACCGCCCCUUGCGGUUGUACCCUGCCCAGCCUCCCUUCUGUCCUGACACGAGGUCCUUGGCCCUGCAGCCUCCACGAGGCCCCGUGGCUACGUGGAGAAUGUGCAUUCCAAGGCUCUGACCCAGGCCUCCUGACUCAGACGGACAGCGGUGUGGGCUUCACUGGUACAAACAGUCCUCGGUGCAUGGAGGCACCCGGAGGUCCCCGGGGGCUGAAUGACAUGCUGCUCAUUAGCCUCCAGGGAAAGCCCAAGGACCCACUUACCAAGUCCUCGGGGCCACAGGCACCUGCUACAGAAUCUGGCUUCUUUCCUUUUUUUUUUUUUUAAUGGAGAUAAAAUUUACAACAAAGUAGCAUGAGGAAGUUGUACAGCUCAAUGUCUCUUUUUCCUAAAUGAGCACCUCUCUGUAGCCACACCCCAGGGGAAGACAUGGAACAUUUUCAGCACCGUGGGAAGCUCCCAGGGGGCUUCGUCCCACUCAUCAGUCCUGCCUUGCUCCUCCACCUGGAGGCCACCAUGACCCCGACUCCCACUUCCACAGAUGAGUUUUGCCUGUAUUUUAACUCCAAGUAAAUGGG